AGACGGGAUACAGACAGACCCAGCAGGUUGGUAGGCAGGUAGGCAGACGGAUACAGACAGACCCAGCAGGUUGGUAGGCAGGUAGGCAGACGGAUACAGACAGACCCAGCAGGUUGGCAGACAGAUACAGACAGACCCGGCAGGUAGACAGACAGACCCGGCAGGUAGACAGACAGACCCGGUAGGUAGGCAGACAGACCCGGUAACUGUAGACAUUUUAGGUUUCCAUUGAGCCGGGUUUAAUAAGACAAACAACAUAUAUAUAUAUAUAAAUACAUAGAGACAGAGAUAUUUCACGUUAUAUAUUAUCUACCUCACUUGCUUUGGCAAUGUUAACACAUGUUUCCCAUGACAAUAAAGCCCCUUGAAUUGAAUUGAGAGAGAGAGAGGUGUCAUGGAAACGGUAGAGAUAGGAGACAUUUUCCGAAGGUCGACAACAUUUU
ensembl:lncRNA